ACCUCGCAGAGGGUGAAGAGUCCGUAGGCCGCCAGCCACACCGUGCAGGUGACAGCGGUGAGCGAACGCAGCGAGAGCCGAGGGCAGCUGAGGCAGAAUUCCCGGCAGGACGGGGAGUAGUAGCGGCGCUGCAGCGCCAGGCGGCCGCCGCAGAUAUCCGAAAAGCUCCGCUCAUCCUCCAUGACGCCCCCACUCGGCCGCCCGCACCGCGCGGCGCUGCACUGCGCUCGCCGGCCCUGGCCGUCUCGCCCGCUCCAGACCCGCUUCCGGCAGCCGCGUCACCACGCCCCGCCCUAAGCCUGCGCAGCCUCAGUUGCGCGCCGAGAGCUCUGCUGGGGGCUGAUGGUUGUGCGUUCUUCCGGGCCGGCCUUGACUGUCUUCGAAAAAACCUCGUCGGGGCAAUAAAAACUUCUGUGACCAAGCGUAUGGGGGGCUUUCCCCAUACACCAAGAAAGCAGUUCGACACUAUCCACCUGGAAGUCACGUCAGAUCCUACAGAACUUGUCAACAACUCAGUCCCACAAAAGUGCCCCUGACUUGAGACAUCAAUUGCAAGUCCGAGCUUCUGGAAC
rnacentral:lncRNA from 1 species